AGUGAACGCUGGCGGUAGGCCUAACACAUGCAAGUCGAACGGCAGCACAGUAAGAGCUUGCUCUUACGGGUGGCGAGUGGCGGACGGGUGAGGAAUACAUCGGAAUCUACUUUUUCGUGGGGGAUAACGUAGGGAAACUUACGCUUAUACCGCAUACGACCUACGGGUGAAAGCAGGGGAUCUUCGGACCUUGCGCGAUUGAAUGAGCCGAUGUCGGAUUAGCUAGUUGGCGGGGUAAAGGCCCACCAAGGCGACGAUCCGUAGCUGGUCUGAGAGGAUGAUCAGCCACACUGGAACUGAGACACGGUCCAGACUCCUACGGGAGGCAGCAGUGGGGAAUAUUGGACAAUGGGCGCAAGCCUGAUCCAGCCAUACCGCGUGGGUGAAGAAGGCCUUCGGGUUGUAAAGCACUUUUGUUGGGAAAGAAAAGCAGCAGGUUAAUACCCCGCUGUUCUGACGGUACCCAAAGAAUAAGCACCGGCUAACUUCGUG
rnacentral:rRNA from 1 species